AGGGUUCGAUUCUGGCUCAGGACGAACGCUGGCGGCAUGCCUAACACAUGCAAGUCAACGGGGGUAGCAAUACCCUAGUGGGCGAACGGGUGAGUAACACAUAAGCAAUCUGCCCUUCACAGGGGGAUAACAGCGGGAAACUGCUGCUAAUACCGCAUAAGACCACGGUACCGCAUGGUACAGGGGUAAAAACGAAUCAGUGGUGAAGGAUGAGCUUAUGUCCCAUUAGCUAGUUGGUGAGAUAACAGCCCACCAAGGCGACGAUGGGUAGCCGACCUGAGAGGGUGAUCGGCCACACUGGAACUGAGACACGGUCCAGACUCCUACGGGAGGCAGCAGUGGGGAAUAUUGGGCAAUGGAGGAAACUUCCUUACCCAGCAAUGCCGCGUGAGUGAAGAAGGUCUUCGGAUUGUAAAGCUCUUUGAUUGGGGACGAAGAAAGUGACGGUACCCAAAGAACAACGCCCCGGCUAACUACGUGCCAGCAGCUGC
rnacentral:rRNA from 1 species